UACGUAGGGUGCGAGCGUUAAUCGGAAUUACUGGGCGUAAAGCGUGCGCAGGCGGUUUUGUAAGCCAGAUGUGAAAUCCCCGGGCUUAACCUGGGAAUGGCAUUUGGGACUGCAAGGCUGGAGUGCGGCAGAGGGGGAUGGAAUUCCGCGUGUAGCAGUGAAAUGCGUAGAUAUGCGGAGGAACACCGAUGGCGAAGGCAAUCCCCUGGGCCUGCACUGACGCUCAUGCACGAAAGCGUGGGGAGCAAACAGG
rnacentral:rRNA from 1 species